rnacentral:rRNA from 1 species
GCCAUGCAAGUCGAGAGGUUUCUGACCUCGGCGUACUGCUCAGUAACACGUGGACAAUCUGCCCUGGAGAGGAGGAUAUCCCCGGGAAACUGGGAUUAAUACUCCAUAGUUCGUCUUAACUGGAAUGUUAUUCGAACGAAAGAUCCGUCGCUCCAGGAUGAGUCUGCGGCCGAUUAGGUAGUUGUUGGGGUAACGGCCCAACAAGCCUUUCAUCGGUACGGGUUGUGGGAGCAAGAGCCCGGAGAUGGAUUCUGAGACACGAAUCCAGGCCCUACGGGGCGCAGCAGGCGCGAAAACUUUACCAUGCGGGCAACCGUGAUAAGGAAACCCCGAGUGCCAGCACAGGCUGGCUGUCCGCCAGUUUAAAUAACUGGUGAAGAAAGGGCCGGGCAAGACCGGUGCCAGCCGCCGCGGUAAUACCGGCGGCUCGAGUGGUGGCCGCUAUUACUGGGCUUAAAGGGUCCGUAGCUUGAUAACUGGGUCCCUUGAGAAAUCCGCCAGCUUAACUGGCGGGCGUUCAGGGGAAACUUGUUUUCUAGGGACCGGGAGAGGUGAGGGGUACUGCCGGGGUAGGAGUGAAAUCCUGUAAUCCCGGUGGGACCACCUAUGGCGAAGGCAUCUCACCAGAACGGGUCCGACAGUGAGGGACGAAAGCUGGGGGAGCAAACCGGAUUAGAUACCCGGGUAGUCCCAGCUGUAAACUAUGUGCGUUAGGUGUGUCAGUGACCACGUGUCACUGAGGUGCCGAAGGGAAACCGUGAAACGCACCGCCUGGGGAGUACGGUCGCAAGGCUGAAACUUAAAGGAAUUGGCGGGGGAGCA